UCUUUUUUAAAUUUCGAUGACACUGUAAUUGAACACAUCGUAAAUUUGAAUUCCAAAAAGUCAUACGAUUCCAUCUCAGACUCUUCAGAUCUUAAUUACGACGAUAUCCAGAAAGAGGACACGUACAACUGUCAUCUAAUCUGUGUAAAACUGGGAUAAGUGAAAAUUGUCAUUGGGAUGAAGAUGACAAUGACAUAUUUGCUUCCAUAAGCUCCCAAAUAUACUUCAAGAACUUAGUGCUAAGAGAAACUAACUAUGUUGCAUUAGGAGAACAGGCGGAGUUGGGAGAAGGUUAAAACUCAUUUGGCGUGAAUGAAAUGGAAAAAGUGAAAAAUAAAAUUUAUCAAGAUGAGGUGGAUAAGUUCGCUAGUUUGUGCAGGUUUUCAAACAGCGAACGGUAAAAAAGAAACCACAUUGGAGGAAUCGCAGAAAUCUGUACAAAAUUUUGUGAGAGAAUUUCAAGGCUAUUUACAAGAAAAAAACUAUGAAACUGGAAUGAAAGAUAUAAAAGAUCGUUCGAGACUGUUUCAUUUCAAAAUAACCAAUUUCUAAAUUGACGAAUAUGUACCACCAAAGUACCUACGUAGAUUUUCACUUUCCCAGAUGAAGGCGCUUUGGUUGUGGGUUAAUUCAUAUUAUAUAGCAUGUGAUUCCCAUCAUGUAAGAGAAUUUUUAUCUCCUUGAAUCGAGUAGGAAUUCCCUACCAUUUCAGACGGUUUCUUACAAGAUAAUUGCAAAUAAAAUUUUUUUAGAUCAUGCAACCUUUCCUCUGGAUGGCGAUGGCGAGUAUGCUUUGGUACUAAAAUUUUGCGAGAUGUAUUUUCCUCAACUAAAUAAAAAAAUAAGCAAAAAAAAGAGAAAGGUUCUUAACGGCCAACAUGGAAACUUAAUUUCCAACGAAAAAGAUACGGAAACGGAUGAAUAUCCAAAGAAAUUACCAGUAGUGGAAAAUGAAAAAGAUAUUAACGACGAAUUCCAUGAAUUAAUUUCUUCCUAAGCCAACCGGAGCAGAGCUUCUCACAGUUAAAAUCCUGUUAUACCACUCUCUAUCUAAGCUCAAAACCAUCAUCAUAAAUAUUUUCGUGGAAACUAAGCCUUUACCUAGAAACAAUAUUUGAGCGAGCGUUACAUCUUUUUGACACCAGUUGCGGCCGAGUGUACGAAAAGGCAAGAAAUGCUACUUUUGAAAACUUCAGAGAGGCCACGCCUGUUAGCAUUGCAACAACAGAGCUCUAGACAACGUCAUGCAAUCGCAGAGACCUAACGUAAAUCCAUUUACACCAGAUAGUAAUUUUAUCGUCUCUAUUAUAGAACUUUGAUAUAUGAAAUGGUAACGCACAUUGUCUUAUAAGUUUGAUGGCUCACUAAGUUCGUUACUAUCAUUUGAUGAAUCGUGUUCGGUAGCCAACUCUACAUCAUAUUGAAAACCUGUUUUCGUUACAUCGAUUAACUUAUUUGAUUCAAAGCAUCUCAAACAAAUCCCCUUCUGUUUGGCAUUUGUGGCGGCAAAGUAUGCUUUAACGCAUCGGACACAUUCAUCCUGCUGCUCUCCUAAAAUUUUGAGAAAUAAAAAUUAAAUACAUUUCACUGAAAGACCGAAUAUUGCAUUCAAUUUACUUUCGUGUGUUUUCAGAUAUGCUCGUAAAUUGAAGAUGGGUACAAAAUAAUUUUGCGCCGAGUUUUUUCAGUGAGUUCAAAAAAGUUUUAAAAAGCCUGUUUUUAAAGUAAGUAACAAUGCUAGUAAUUAAACACUUCCAAAAAAUACAUAAUAUUCCAAUGUUUUUUUAGUCGGAAGGAAAGGCAAUAGGAUAAUAAUUUUUGGGGAGACCAUUGAUCUAUAUCGUUAACUAUGAGUAGGUUAAGGCAAUGAAAACACUUUGUGUUGGUUCUAUUUAUUUAUUUAUGAACACCUUGAAGAGUCAAUUAAAUUACGAAAGUUUUUUUAUUUUUUUUUAUUUUCUUCUUUUUCCCCACCUUCAGACCCUCUAAGAACAGUUUUGUGCUGAAUCAGCCCGAUCAUCUAUUUGCAAAUUAGCAGGCUGAGAUCUAGAAUCUUCUUUGGGAUGAACGUUGGGAUUACUUUUCAGUGAUUCAAUUGGGUGCGACUGCUUGCUCGUUGAAAUCGAAAGAGCUUAGUGAUCCAUUUGCUGUUCCAAAAAAGUAAAAACGCUGAAAUUGUGCGGGUGGACGCGCAUAUUGGUAUGCGCAAACAAGCGAUAGAAUCUCCAUAUAUCGAAAAUUACGGCGACAACGACUUUGCCGAGGUCGCAGAACAAGGAAACAAUUUCGCUUUAGAAUCCUUAGAGGCCGAUUAGAUUCCGAUCAUAAUCCUGUAUUAAUUAAUGAGUUGAAGAUGUCUGAUUUUAAGCAAGUGUUUAUGCGCCAAAAUAACAACUCUGAAUUUCCGCGCGGUGAGUUUGUGGUACUUAAGCUUUGAGUUUGAACAAUUUUUUGGUUAUUGAAGUCCAUUCCAUAAAGGAAGAAUGAAAGCAAUUAAGUGGUGGGUGGAAAAAAUGUUUGAUGAAAAUUAUACAACUUGCUGUUCUCUUGGAAAGUUGCUUGUAUUAUCCCUACGCAUUGUUUUUUUACGAUGCCAAUGAGUUUCUUCGUUACUAGGAGUUCUAAAAUAAAAAUUUCGAAAAGGAAAACAAUAACUAUACCAUUUUCAUAAAUAAUUACCUUCUUAGUGUCCUCUUGACUCAUUUUUUUAAAGCAAAGAAAGUCCAUACUAGAGCUAGGUGAAAUGUUCGUAUUUUCCAUUUUAAUGGAGUUCUGUUAAAUGAGAUUUUCCUCAUAAUCAUGAACAAAUAGUUUUUUUCCUAUUUAUUUAUUUAUUUA